GCGGGUGUGGCGGAAUUGGCAGACGCACUAGAUUUAGGUUCUAGCGUUGAAAAACGUGGGGGUUCAAAUCCCUUCACCCGCA
rnacentral:tRNA from 1 species